AAACCAACAGGGAUUGCCUUAGUAGCGGCGAGUGAACAGGCAAGAGCUCAGAUUUGAAAGCCUUGCGGAGGCAUUGUAUUCUGAAGCCUUGGUCUCGGGAAUCGGUGUUUAAGUCUUCUGGAAAGGAGCGCCAUGGAGGGUGAUAGCCCCGUGAAACACCACUCUCACUUUGGGACCUUGGCAUGGAGUCGAGUUGUUUGGGAAUGCAGCUCAAAUGGGUGGUAUGCUCCAUCUAAAGCUAAAUAUCUGCGAGAGACCGAUAGCGAACAAGUACUGUGAAGGAAAGAUGAAAAGAACUUUGAAAAGAGAGUGAAAUAGUACGUGAAAUUGUUGAAAUGGAAGGGUAGGCCGCUAACCACGUAGAGUCGUGUUCGAGGGGAGGAUAAAAGCUGCAACCUAUGUCAUUCUUUGAGUGGUAUAGGCGCAGUGCAUACUCCCACCCGAGCGCGAGGACCUAAGACUCUACUAAAUGGUGGUCUACCAC
rnacentral:rRNA from 1 species